rnacentral:rRNA from 2 species
GAUUAAGUUAUUAAGGGCGCACGGUGGAUGCCUUGGCACUAGAAGCCGAUGAAGGACGUUACUAACGACGAUAUGCUUUGGGGAGCUGUAAGUAAGCUUUGAUCCAGAGAUUUCCGAAUGGGGAAACCCAGCAUGAGUUAUGUCAUGUUAUCGAUAUGUGAAUACAUAGCAUAUCAGAAGGCACACCCGGAGAACUGAAACAUCUUAGUACCCGGAGGAAGAGAAAGAAAAUUCGAUUCCCUUAGUAGCGGCGAGCGAAACGGGAAGAGCCCAAACCAACAAGCUUGCUUGUUGGGGUUGUAGGACACUCUAUACGGAGUUACAAAGGACGACAUUAGACGAAUCAUCUGGAAAGAUGAAUCAAAGAAGGUAAUAAUCCUGUAGUCGAAAAUGUUGUCUCUCUUGAGUGGAUCCUGAGUACGACGGAGCACGUGAAAUUCCGUCGGAAUCUGGGAGGACCAUCUCCUAAGGCUAAAUACUCUCUAGUGACCGAUAGUGAACCAGUACCGUGAGGGAAAGGUGAAAAGCACCCCGGAAGGGGAGUGAAAUAGAACCUGAAACCGUGUGCUUACAAGUAGUCAGAGCCCGUUAAUGGGUGAUGGCGUGCCUUUUGUAGAAUGAACCGGCGAGUUACGAUUUGAUGCAAGGUUAAGCAGUAAAUGUGGAGCCGUAGCGAAAGCGAGUCUGAAUAGGGCGUUUAGUAUUUGGUCGUAGACCCGAAACCAGGUGAUCUACCCUUGGUCAGGUUGAAGUUCAGGUAACACUGAAUGGAGGACCGAACCGACUUACGUUGAAAAG